ensembl:lncRNA
GCAGGUUGGAGAUAGUCAAACAGGCAGGUUGGAGAUAGUCAAACAGGCAGGUUGGAGAUAGUGAAACAGGCAGGCUGGAGAUAGUGAAACAGGCAGGUUGGAGAUAGUGAAACAGGCAGGUUGGAGAUAGUGAAACAGGCAGGUUGGAGAUAGUCAAACAGGCAGGUUGGAGAUAGUGAAACAGGCAGGCUGGAGAUAGUGAAACAGGCAGGUUGGAGAUAGUGAAACAGGCAGGUUGGAGAUAGUGAAACAGGCAGGUUGGAGAUAGUGAAACAGGCAGGUUGGAGAUAGUGAAACAGACAGGUUGGAGAUAGUCAAACAGGCAGGUUGGAGAUAGUGAAACAGGCAGGCUGGAGAUAGUGAAACAGGCAGGCUGGAGAUAGUGAAACAGGCAGGUUGGAGAUAGUGAAACAGGCAGGUUGGAGAUAGUCAAACAGGCAGGUUGGAGAUAGUGAAACAGGCAGGCUGGAGAUAGUGGAACAGAAAACUAUAUUGUUUGUUAUUGAAACUAUAUGUCCCAGUGAUUUCACAGCCAAUCACAACACUGGGCGGGAGAAAUCCAUUUCACAGCCAAUC